GGUGGCUGCCUGGAUGUCCUGAAUCGAUUCAAAACAUUUCCCUUUCAUGGUCAUUUUGACUUUGGAGAAGAGCUAGAAGCCCUACAGUGCCAGACAAAACACAGCAACUCCUGAGCUCAGCUGUAAACUCCAGAGUCUGGAAGUGCCUCGUGCAGUGCCUCUCACACCUGGCUAAUCAAUGAGUUUAUUUGGUCCGGGAUCCCCAUCAUUAUCGGCAGCCACAACAAUAGUCACUCAGGAUCUGUGUGAUGAUAUCUUUAUGGUGAAACAGAGGCGAAGAGAAAGUACACUGUGGCCCACAGGCAUGUUGUGAGAGUUUGGACUUGAACUUAAAUGCAGGUCCUUCAACUUCAGGGCAAAGUGCUGAGAAUCACACUUCCUUACCCCACAUAGCAUCUCGGUUUCCAGCUUGAACUCACCAACAAAGACUUUACCCAAAACUUUAGGACCGAUAACCAUGAGUGCUGGAGCCCAAAUGACGAUGGCACCGCAGAAAGUAAGCAAGUCUGGAAAUGUGCUGUUGGGAAUUCUCAGGCCCCGGCCAAACUCACUCAGACUCUUAGCAGAGGCUACUACAGGGCCCCAGGGAGAGAAAAGAGCCCAGAAGACUUAAUAGGCUCUGAUUUUCAGAAAUAAAAGCAGAAGGCUUG
rnacentral:lncRNA from 1 species